CAUCUUAGGUCGCUGAAGGGGUUAAAACACCUUCAGCCACUUACCUGAAGCCAGCGCCAAUGUCCCUCAGUACUGGGUCAGGCUUCUCCUACGCACCUUUGCUACGCAUGCCCAUUAGGUCUCCCCCGCCGUGGACAUUGGCGGGGGAGACCUAAUGGGCAUGCUCGGCAAAGGCCACACGCGCAUUAGAUUUACCCAUAGGAAGGCAUUAUUCAAUGCUUUCAUAUGGGGUUUCUGGCAUAGCGUGAGGACAUCCAGCAUCAUUUAGAUGACCAAAAGUCAUCUAAGAACCCAGACGUCCCUCUACUUCUUUACACUUGCAGGGUUAAUAAUUACACUUGCAAGGUUAAUGGUGAUGGAAGUUGGCACCCAGACCUCUUCAAUGAGCUGAAGUGGUCUGGGUGCCUACAGUUACCCUUUAAUACACAUAGAGAGCAGGGUAUAAGGUAAAGCAAAAAGGACACCCAUGAU